rnacentral:rRNA from 1 species
CUACGGGGCGCACCAGUGGGGAAUAUUGGACAAUGGGGGCAACCCUGAUCCAGCCAUGCCGCGUGUGUGAAGAAGGCCUUCGGGUUGUAAAGCACUUUCAACAGUGAGGAAAGGUUAGUAGUUAAUACCUGCUAGCUGUGACGUUAACUGUAGAAGAAGCACCGGCUAACUCCGUGCCAGCAGCCGCGGUAAUACGGAGGGUGCAAGCGUUAAUCGGAAUUACUGGGCGUAAAGCGCGCGUAGGUGGUUUGUUAAGCGAGAUGUGAAAGCCCCGGGCUCAACCUGGGAACUGCAUUUCGAACUGGCAGGCUAGAGUACAGAAGAGGAUAGUGGAAUUUCCAGUGUAGCGGUGAAAUGCGUAGAGAUUGGAAGGAACACCAGUGGCGAAGGCGACUGUCUGGUCUGAUACUGACACUGAGGUGCGAAAGCGUGGGUAGCAAACAGGAUUAGAUACCCUUGUAGUC